UAGGAAGGUUUGACAACAGAGGGAAAAAAGCCUGUUUUAGGACUCUCAGGCUGGGAGGUAGCUGUUUUAGUGGGGCUACUGAAGUCUGAAAUGACCUCUUUUUAUAUCUUGAAGAACUAAAUCUACUGCAAAAAGGUUACAUCGUGCCUUUUCUCUUCCACAUGAUGGAGAUCUUCAAAGUAAGCAUCUUUCAAAGCAGUGACAAGCAAAAUACAACUGGAAGAUCAGUAACUCUCUGUUAAGCAGCUUUGCUUGCUGUCAUUGUUGACUGCCAGGGAGUGGUGAUCCAUGUCAGUCACUAAAAUGACACCUUGGCAAGACUGCUGUCUGCUCCUGGAGUUUUUGUGUAUGGAAACAAUUUUAAGGUUCCUUAGAGUCUCAGAAAAAUCCAGUGAAUUCAGUCUCAAGUGAAUCCAGUGAUGGUGAUUCAUGGUUCCUGAUUCUUUUCUAAACUGCUUUCUCAAUUCUCUUUGCCCAUAAUCUUUCCCAGGCAGGAAACUCAAAAGAGAGGUCAGAGAAGGACGAGAAUCCUCAUGCUAUUUGGCAUCUCAUUGUAAGACGUGGUGGAAUGUGUUCAGCAAGUCAAUUUGGCAGAAUUGAAGAGUAAUAGAUUGGCAUAUCAAAAUGCAUAUACAAAAAAUUAAUCAAGGCAAACAACUUCAUUCAUAGUGUUACAGUAAACAAGUUUUAGUAUAGGAUUUUAAAAGUCUUAGAUUCAAGUUAUGGCUUCACUAUUUCCAGGAGCAUGACUAGUUUGAU